ACGAACGCUGGCGGCGUGCUUAACACCUGCCAGUCGAACGGAAAGGCCCUGCUUUUGUGGGGUGCUCGAGUGGCGAACGGGUGAGUAACACGUGAGUAACCUGCCCUUGACUUUGGGAUAACUUCAGGAAACUGGGGCUAAUACCGGAUAGGAGCUCCUGCUGCAUGGUGGGGGUUGGAAAGUUUCGGCGGUUGGGGAUGGACUCGCAGCUUAUCAGCUUGUUGGUGGGGUAGUGGCUUACCAAGGCUUUGACGGGUAGCCGGCCUGAGAGGGUGACCGGCCACAUUGGGACUGAGAUACGGCCCAGACUCCUACGGGAGGCAGCAGUGGGGAAUAUUGCACAAUGGGCGGAAGCCUGAUGCAGCAACGCCGCGUGCGGGAUGACGGCCUUCGGGUUGUAAACCGCUUUCGCCUGUGACGAAGCGUGAGUGACGGUAAUGGGUAAAGAAGCACCGGCUAACUACGUG
rnacentral:rRNA from 1 species